GGGGUGAUCUGGAAGAGCAGGCAUUCGGACGCCCAUUAUGGACACAUCCUUACUGGAAACCUCUCUAGCUUUAUAGAGCCUUUCAAAACUUAUGCUCUACAGUUAACAUGUUUUAAGAACCCACAAUGACCUUGACAUCACAAUGAGGCAUUAGAAUUGGACUUUAGAGUAGCAGUAAAAGUAAGGGGACACACACACAUUAUGUGUGUGUGUAUUUAUGUGUGUAUAUAAUUAAAUUAGCUCCAUAUAAUUCUAUGAGGGAAUGCACACACACACACUGUAAUUGUCUGCUGACAGAACCAAAAUUAGGCCAAGGUAAUCAGACCUUUCCCCAGGAUGUCAAAAUUUAGAGAGCUCAAAAAUUUAAACUUAUGAUUUUAGAAGAUUGCGUCAUUCUAAUCGUGCUACAUUUUGACAAAACUUUUACUCCUUUAGCAGCAUAGAAACAACUGUACUCAGCACCUAGUUAACAAGAAUAAUUAGAUCAAUUAGGAAGCUACCAGAUGGCACACUUCCUCCCCCAAAGACUACAUACCAGGUGUAGGUACUGUAUGCUUUUAGACCUGCCACUAGAGCCUGCAAAGAUCGGCUGUUGACAAGAUCCUUCUCAUGAAAGAUAUCUUCAUCCAAUAAAUCCCCAG